rnacentral:tRNA from 1 species
GUAUCUGUAGUUCAAAAGCCUAGAACGCCGGUCUUGUAAACCGGAUGUCGGAGGUUGAAAUCCUCCUUGGUACU